CCUACGGGUGGCAGCAGUGGGGAAUAUUGGGCAAUGGAGGAAACUCUGACCCAGCAACGCCGCGUGAAUGAUGAAGGUCUUCGGAUUGUAAAGUUCUUUUCUUAGGGAAGUAGAAAGUGACGGUACCUUAGGUAUAUGCCUCGGCUAACUACGUGCCAGCAGCCGCGGUAAUACGUAGGAGGCGAGCGUUAUCCGGAAUGACUGGGCUUAAAGGGUGCGUAGGUGGUUUGGCAAGUUAGUAGCGUAACUCCAAGGCUCAACCUUGGAACUACUACUAAAACUGUUGGACUUGAGUGCAGGGGGGGCAGCCGGAAUGCCUAGUGUAGCGGUGGAAUGCGUAGAUAUUAGGCGGAACACCGGUGGCGAAGGCGGGUUGCUAGGCCAUAACUGACGCUGAGGCACGAAAGCGUGGGGAGCAAACAGGAUUAGAUACCCUAGUAGUC
rnacentral:rRNA from 1 species